AAUAUUUGAGUACAAUCAUUCCUGUAUCCUGUGAACCUGUAUAGCCAUACUCAUCACAGGUAGGGAAUUCAGCAGACAGAGCAGCUUUAUAAGCCGCAUGUUGUUAAUUUACUGUAGCUGUACACAGUCACAUCACUAGGUGUUUGAUGUUGGAGAUAAGGUAGGGCAUGUUCUGUAUUUUAUACAUAAUCCAUCAACUUUCCCUUUGUGGGGUACAGGUUUGGCAGAAGAUGCUGACUUAUGUCAAAUCUGCUAUCACAAACUAUUUUGUAAUGUGUCUGGUUAAGUAUAGGCUGGUGUUGUCAGGAGAUUUUAAAUUAAGUGAAAAAUAAAUGUUGCAAAAAGAACGUAAGAAGCGUAAGAAACAGCUCACCUUUGCAGGCCUGCCAUUUUAGCCCAGGUAUUGUGUACAUAUGUAUAUCUAGUUACUAGGUGUAACACUAUGUGGGUAGAAUAUUGAAAUUCACAAUGGGUGUGAAGUGAUUGAUUUGGAUAUUAGUUGUGACAAGGUAAGUUGUCAAAGAUUCUGAAUUUUUAGAAAGAGAAACCAUUCUUUGAAACUGAAACAAGAUUAAUAGCUCCAUGCAGAGAUGCUCAAACAUUUAUUCAGAGAAGGUUGUUUGAAGAAUACUUUGGUAAUGAGAUCUAUAGUUUAUGCAUCACAAAUAUUAUUUUUGAAAUGAGAAAAGUGUCAGGAAAUGAUGUGUUGAUAUACAUUCUCAAUAAGAUCAUAUUUUU